CCUACGGGUGGCAGCAGUAGGGAAUAUUGCUCAAUGGGGGAAACCCUGAAGCAGCAACGCAGCGUGGAGGAUGAAGGUUUUCGGAUUGUAAACUCCUUUUGUUAGAGAAGAUAAUGAAGGUAUCUAACGAUUAAGUAUUGGCUAACUCAGUGACAGCAGCCGCGGUAAUACGGAGGAGGCUGGCGUUACCCGGAAUAACUGGGCGUAAAGAGCGCGUAGGCGGGAUAGCAAGUCAGAUGUGAAAUCCUAUGGCUCAACCAUAGAACUGCAUUUGAAACUGGUAUUCUAGAGUAGAGGAGAGGUAGGUGGAAUUCUUGGUGUAGCGGUAAAAUGCUUAGAGAUCAAGAAGAACACUGAUUGCGAAGGCGACCUGCUAG
rnacentral:rRNA from 1 species